rnacentral:lncRNA from 1 species
CUCAGCGCAGUGUUCCCGUCGGGGCGGCGGCGGCAGCAGCGCGAACCCGGGCGGGGCCGGCCGGCCCACACAGGUGUACCGCUGUGGAGGCCGCUGUGCGGUGCAUGUUGUGGUUCUGCUCCUGACACAGCUCUUUUGCCAUGCAGGAAGCCUCUGAGGAAGGCUGCCUUUCUAAAGAUUAGAUCCAAGUUGAUGGAAGUAAUCCCAGCUGACUUGGGCAGCGCUAGGUCAGACCAUAAACCAGGUGCUGGUAUGCUUGCUUAGUACCUCUGGAAUACUCAAAGUUGCCCUGCAGCUAACUGAAAAACAUGGCUUCAAUGUGAGAAGUAACUGAAGCACACAUUGGCAGUGGGUGGCAGAAGGGCCCAAGGUUUCAAAAGCAAACUGCAUGGGACCGCUGAAGAAACAGUCCAUUGAAAACCCACCUCAUGUAAGUUUUAGGCAAAGGUGGUCUCCAGCCCUUUCAAGCAGAAUUUCAAGUUGCUGAGCUCAUCCUCCAGCACCACUUGGUACUACUCAGGGUAGCACUUCCAUUGCCAGGAUCCAGCUCAGUAGAACAGUCCAUCUUUGCUCUCAUCAUUUGGCCCAAGCACACCUCAGCACCCAGCAAGUUCCCUCAUUCCUACUGAAGAGAUGGGAAUCCAGUGUUCAUCCUGAGUACCCUGCUACACCUUCUGCUUCCGUUUCCAUUUGCAAGAAGUGUUUGCUGCUUCUGUGGAAUUUAUUAAAGAUUUCUUUAAUAAAACUACUGUUG